rnacentral:rRNA from 1 species
UUUUAUGGAGAGUUUGAUCCUGGCUCAGGAUGAACGCUGGCGGCGUGCCUAAUACAUGCAAGUCGAGCGAACGGACGAGAAGCUUGCUUCUCUGAUGUUAGCGGCGGACGGGGGAGUAACACGUGGAUAACCUACCUAUAAGACUGGGAUAACUUCGGGAAACCGGAGCUAAUACCGGAUAAUAUUUUGAACCGCAUGGUUCAAAAGUGAAAGACGGUCUUGCUGUCACUUAUAGAUGGAUCCGCGCUGCAUUAGCUAGUUGGUAAGGUAACGGCUUACCAAGGCAACGAUGCAUAGCCGACCUGAGAGGGUGAUCGGCCACACUGGAACUGAGACACGGUCCAGACUCCUACGGGAGGCAGCAGUAGGGAAUCUUCCGCAAUGGGCGAAAGCCUGACGGAGCAACGCCGCGUGAGUGAUGAAGGUCUUCGGAUCGUAAAACUCUGUUAUUAGGGAAGAACAUAUGUGUAAGUAACUGUGCACAUCUUGACGGUACCUAAUC